rnacentral:lncRNA from 1 species
AAGAAGAAAGUGGAAAAUAAUAUUGAGCAAGAAAUAUUAAAUCUAUUCCAGCGAGGAUGAUUGACGGAGAAAGGUCUUAAACUCUAUCCUCCGGACUUUGGCAAUUUAUUUAUUCGUUUACUCCACCGUGCUGUUAGCUCAGGUUGACACGAGGCACGUGUUGGAGAAAGGUGUUAACUAUAUCCUAUUUGAGGCUUUGUUUGGCAACCUAUUUAUUUGUUUAUUUCAGUAUGAUUUUACCUCAGCUUGACGUGAGUCACUUGUUGGACACGUGGCC